AGCGGCAGGCUUACACAUGCAAGUCGAGGGGUAACGAUUCUGAGUAAUCGGAAGGCGACGACCGGCGCACGGGUGAGUAUCGCGUUUGCAACCUACCUCUGACUGGAGCAUAGCCCGAAGAAAUUCGGAUUAAUACUCCAUAAUACUGCGAGAAGGCAUCUUUUUUCAGUUAAAGCUUCGGCGGUCAGAGAUGGGCAUGCGUAACAUUAGCUAGUUGGUGAGGUAACUGCUCACCAAGGCUACGAUGUUUAGGGGGUCUGAGAGGAUGGUCCCCCACACUGGUACUGAGACACGGACCAGACUCCUACGGGAGGCAGCAGUGAGGAAUAUUGGUCAAUGGGCGAAAGCCUGAACCAGCCAUGCCGCGUGAAGGAUGACGGCCCUAUGGGCUGUAAACUUCUUUUAUACGGGAAGAAACCUCUCUACGUGUAGAGGGUUGACGGUACCGUACGAAUAAGCAUCGGCUAACUCCGUGCCAGCAGCCGCGGUAAUACGGAGGAUGCAAGCGUUAUCCGGAUUCAUUGGGUUUAAAGGGUGCGCAGGCGGAGAAUUAAGUCAGUGGUGAAAUCCUGCAGCUUAACUGUAGAAUUGUCAUUGAUACUGGUUUUCUUGAAUGCAGUUGAGGUAGGCGGAAUGUGUAAUGUAGCGGUGAAAUGCUUAGAUAUUACCCAGAACACCGAUUGCGAAGGCAGCUUACUAAACUGUGAUUGACGCUGAGGCACGAAAGCGUGGGGAGCGAACAGGAUUAGAUACCCUGGUAGUCCACGCUGUAAACUAUGAUCACUCGUUGUUGGCAAUACAUCGUCAGCGACUGAGCGAAAGCAUUAAGUGAUCCACCUGGGGAGUACGAUCGCAAGAUUGAAACUCAAAGGAAUUGACGGGGGCCCGCACAAGCGGAGGAACAUGUGGUUUAAUUCGAUGAUACGCGAGGAACCUUACCUGGGCUUAAAUGCAUAACGACGGACCGGGAAACUGGUCUUUCUUCGGACGGCAUGCAAGGUGCUGCAUGGCUGUCGUCAGCUCGUGCCGUGAGGUGUCGGGUUAAGUCCCAUAUCGAGCCCAACCCUUAUCGUUAGUUGCCAGCGGGUAAUGCCGGGGAGUGUAAUGAAAUUGACCUGUGUAAACGGAGAGGAAGGUGGGGAUGAUGUCAAGUCAGCACGUCCUUUA
rnacentral:rRNA from 1 species